UGUGACAUAACACCGCCUAUGAUGUUUUCACUGUCAAUCGAUCGUUGUAUGAACUCAGAGCUUAAAGUGGUUCAAAACAACAAAGCGAAGACAAUUUUAAAGAAGACGCAGAAAAAUUCAGAACUCGCAGUCAGAAAAAUGGUGACUGAUUUCUACACUUUAACCCCUUAAUUAGUUUGUAUGUACUACUUUCAUGGUAAACAAAUGAAAAUAAAUUCAGUCUGAAACAAAUGAUAGUAAAAAACUUAAAGGUGAACUUAAAGGUAAGGUCGCAUACUUCCUAGUGACACCUUCAUCCCUGGAAAAACUAUACUAUACUAUAAUUUAACAAAUAUUAUCAUGAUAAUUGAUAUUAUAAUCCAAUAAC